GACGAACGCUGGCGGCGCGCUUAACACAUGCAAGUCGAGCGAAGCGGCGAACGGGUGAGUAACGCGUGAGGAACCUGCCUCUCACAACGGGAUAGCCUCGGGAAACCGGGAUUAAUACCGUAUGGUGAGAGAUGGCCUCGCGUGUGAUUUGUUAGUUGGUGGGGCAACGGCCUACCAAGACGACGAGCAGUAACCUGCAUGAGAGGGUGAACGGUCACAUUGGAGCUGAGACACGGUCCAAACUCCUACGGGAGGCAGCAGUGGGGGAUCUUGCACAAUGGGGGGAACCCUGAAGCAGCGACGCCGGGUGAGCGAUGAAGGUGUUCGAAUCGUAAAUCUCUGUCCUAUGGGAAGCGGUACCAUAGGAGGAAGCACCGGCUAACUACGUGCCAGCAGCCGCGGUAAUUC
rnacentral:rRNA from 1 species